rnacentral:rRNA from 1 species
AUGGACGUUGCCCCCGGCGAAGACCCCCCGGCAGACUCCUCCGGCAUGUAUUACCGCAGAAAAAGGAAGCCUUCCAACCCCAUGAAUAAUCUUUCACUUACUGGAAAUAGGGUUCACAGUUGGGGAUGUGGCAGUGUUACCGAGCAGUGGGACCGCUUGUAUGCUCAGAAGGUCCAAUUACUGACUUUCCUUUCGACUCUGCCCGAGCCUGCUCUGAGUUAUGGGCUGAGUGCUGAAACUGAUAUGGCCAAUUCUAUCGAGCAAAGAGAAGAGAAAAAGAGUGUAAUAGUUCUUGAUUCGGACGAUGAAGAUGAAAGCACAAGAGCACACAAACAACUGACGCCUGAGAAAAACAAACAGCUCACACCUGAGAAAAAUAAACAGCUGAUACCAUCAGAACAGGCUGGUGCUCUCUUGAGGGUGGUAACUGAAGGAAUUGAUGAAGUAAUAAAUGAGACAAUGCCUGUUGGAGACCAAAAGAGUCAAAUUGUUCCGUAUAGUCCAAGUGCAACUUUAGUGAAUCAGUAUCCUGUUACCAGCUAUCAACCAUCAGCAGUUCUGUUUGAGAGAGUUAUAUUGCAGAAAAGACCUGAGGAGGAACGUAUCCAUGAUCUGGCUGUUGCUACCCAUAAGGAGAAAAUAGCAGAAACACAAGUUCUCCCUCCACUGCCUAAGGAGAGAAAAAAACGAAAAGUUGAUCCAAGCUCCCAGGUAGAUGGGGAUGUUGAAAUUGUGCCAAGAAAAACAAAAACAAAAAAUGAAGCAAAUCCAGCAGUAUUUGAUUUGCCCUCAGAACCUUACAAUCCUGUGGGGGAAGACAAGCCUGUGGAGGAAGAUGAGCCUAUGGGGGAAGAUGAGCCUAUGGAGGAAGAGCAUAUACAAGAACAGGAAAGUGAUGGUCUUGAAGAUUUUUGGAAUGAGUACUCAGUGGCACUUGAAAGCUCUAAGCUCGACACACUUGAAGAGGCAGCCAAUGAGAAAGAAGUGGGUGAGAAAGAGGUGGACAACGCCUGCAAUCAUGAUAUACAGAUUCACGAAGAUCUGGGCCAUGUAUGCCGUGUCUGCGGUUUGAUUGUGAAAAGGGCUGACACAAUCAUUGAUUAUCAGUGGAGAAAGGCAUCAAGGUCAAGAUCAUAUUUCUCUGAAAAGCGUUCAAAGGAUUCUGACGAGAUUGUCACUGGUGAUGUUAGAGUCGCUGAAGAACUCAAUGCUUUAGACAUUGCUAUUCAUCCAAGACAUGAAAAGCAAAUGAGACCACAUCAGCUGGCAGGUUUCCACUUUCUGGUCAAGAAUUUGGUCUCUGACAAACCAGGAGGCUUGAAACUGAAACCAAGCAAGGGGGUGAUGAUACGAUAG